GUCCCGUAGCCAAAUAAGUCAAGGCGUUGUCGAUUAGAGACGAAGGUGCGGGUUCGAGUCCCGCUGGGAACG
rnacentral:tRNA from 1 species